rnacentral:lncRNA from 1 species
CCCCCCCCCCCCCCCCCCCCCCCCCCCCCCCCCCCCCCCCCCCCCCCCCCCCCCCCCCCCCCCCCCCCCCCCCCCCCCCCCCGUGUGCCUGUGACAGCGCGGCGCGGCCGCUCCUCGGGGCGGAGGUUGGGGCCGGACGCCGUUAGUCGUCGGGCGGUCCCGGCAAAGCGGGCGGGCCCUGCCGGGACUUGCUUUUAAUAAGCAUCGUGAUUUUUUGUUGUUAAUGCUCCGUUUUGCCACUGUGCCGUGAGGAAGGCGGGCUGGCAGCGCUCAGCUGGGGCUGUGCCCGGAGCCUGAGGCGCGCCCCGAGCCGUCACACGGCCGUGGGGAACACGGGCUGCUGCCCCGGCCCGUCACUUGGGGGCACUGCUAGGGAACGUAACCGAGAGCCCCGCCGUUCUGUAAGGAGAAGAGGCUUCGGAUCUCGGAGAGGGACGUUAUCACUCUCUACAGUUCACUGAAAGGGUGUCGCCAGAAGAAACGUAGAGCAGAGACGACAAGGGGCCUGCACCACCGAACCCGUAAGGACCAGAGCACUUGCCAUAAUCGUGUCUGCACCUCGCGGGGACUGGGAUAUACACACGUGUCCAGGCGCAGCCCCUGGCUUCCACACCAACCACAAUGUUUGUGGUUCUCACUGGCCAUUUCAGUUUGCCAACAAGAGUGUAUACAAGAGGAGACUUGCCACUACUCAUUCCUUGGAGAAAAGGGCAGAUCAACAGCCUGUGAGCACUGAGGGAUAAAAUCCAAGCCCUGUGCAAGUAAUUAGAGAUUUCAUUAUUGGCCUCAGCUAUGUCAAGAUGACAUGAAACCUGCUCAAAGUCAAACAGAUCUGAGACAAAGGAAGAAGAUGUAAAACACAUGCCAAAUCAGUCUGGUUAAUUCAUAAACUGAGUUCUUUUGGAAAAUCUUUUUGUAAAAUAUUCUUACCAUUCCUACUAAACUUACUUAUUCUGGAAAAAUACCCCUAAUAAUACAUAACUAAAUAAUUGUACUACAGUGUCUGAGAUCUAGGUAUCUUAAUUAGCCAUUUUUAAUUUUCCUCUUUCUUUCACUAAAUUAUCUGCAUUUCCUAUUGUUUCAUGAAACUUUUUUUAACACUUCAUGAAAUUAAUAUUAAAAUAAUUUAAUAUUUUUUCCUUCUGCCUUGUGAAUUGGAAAGCUAAAUUCAAUGAACUGUAUUAACUCAGGCAACAUAGUAUCAGCAUAUUUCUUAGCAAAUUAAAGCAGGACUUUCAAAAACAGUCAAGGGAGAAAAUGUUUGGGUGUUUUUUUGCUGAGACUUCAACUUCUAAAUCAUGUGACUUUUCUGACUUGAGAAAAAAGAAACCAGGCACUUUGUAUUCUUAUACUGCAGUAGGUUUCCUGAUAGUGUGACUUCCUCAUUGUGAAAUGCAAAACAAAGAGACUUCAGACAACACAAAGGCUGCUGUCUUUCACAGAGACAGUAUUCCCCAUUUCUGAUCCCAGUCUAACCUCUUCUAGGGAAUGAAAAAAUAUGUAUUCAUUAAAGGUAUGCUGUUAGGCUGAGUUUGCUCUUUGGUAGUUUAUUCAGAUUCAUUCUCCCUACUAAACGCCCUGUCCUGAGGGAUUUCCAGACUCACAACUCAUGAAAUAAAUUUUUACUUUUCUACUACUAGCCUCUGGCAGUUGCUUAGUGAUAUGGAAAUGCUCCUGUUCUUUGGGCAUCUCUAUUCUUGCUCCAGUAGAGGGUAAACUGAGCCAGUUAGGGUGUUUGCAUAAAUCCUAAAUUACCCUCCCAGGCCUUCAGGCACUUUCCACUGUGUGCUAAUACCAGCCACCCGAACACACACUUUAUACACAUUUCUUUAUACAAUCCUCUUGCAGUAUCAUGUUCCCUGCUGUCUAAGUGAAGGUCAACCUUGUAGCUUGUUGGAUGCGUUAAAAAAUGGGGUGUGUGUUGUGAGAGUCAGCAGCAUAUUUGGUGUCUUCCCAAAUCCCAGACCACUCUUAAAACAAGUCAGAUUAAGCUAAAUGUAAGAUAAAGAGCUCCUUUAUAGUAUCUAAGAAUGUACAUAAUAGACAUAAUAGUGGCACAGCUAAUAGAAGAGGGUGAAAAGCAAACUGCACAUGUGGCAAAGACUUGCACUUCUCUGGGUGCCCCAGCUGGUAGGUCCAUGGUCAUCUAGGUCAUGAUGCAGCUCAUUCCUCAGCAUACACCAGUAUCUCUAAGUAAUAUCCAGAGGAAGGCAGGGCUGAGGAUAAUUCCUCCAUUUUAUCAUACUCCAAAGUUGAGUUGUUGAGUCUACCCAGAUGGAAUUUUCCUCAUCAC